UUUGCAUCGUUUGAGACGCAGAUGCCAACGGGAAGUGGACGGCAGUCUGGGUCCUUAUUCUAAGCGGUGCCCUUUGCAUGAAAAGCCUGGACAACCAUCUCCACUCUAUCCCCACUUCAUUGGCUCAGCUGUUCGCAUAUGUCUUUCACCUGCUUUCUUCACAACCUAUGCCUGCCCCUGCCUCUGUGACAUCACAAAGGUCGUUCCCUAUGACAGAGACUCUGCUGGGCCUUGGCCCUGAAGUUUCAGGUAAUGGGAUGCUGCUAAUGUGGUCACCCUACUCAGCCUGCCAGAUGCUGACGCCUGCCUGCCCCUGAUUUCCUCACUGUAAAAGAAUGAAGUGGGAGACAAAGAGGGAGAAGAGGCAGGGGCUGCCAUGAUGGCUGCUGCUGCAACAUAUCUGCUACCACCCAAGGCUGGAUCUCCUGGCAUGGAAAUAAAUGACUGCAGAGAUGGCUACCCUCAAGCUGCUCUCUCAUGAUGACCGGAAUACUGAGGUCUCCUCCUUGUUUACAUUGAGGUAUAUAUUGGUGGACCUUCCCAGCAUCCUUCAAGGAAGACAAGAGAAAGGGACUCAUAAACAAACAGAAGAAAGUAAAAAAGUUAACAGCAAAUAUGGAAGAAGAGACAGUUCAGUAGUAGUGACCUGCAAAGUGUGUGCCAUGUUUGUGUUUGUGCCCGAGAACAACAUAGCAUACCUGUUCAGCAGGUGCAAACUGGUAACACUGUUUCAGGAAAAAUGAAAAAACUGGAGGAGCAGGUGGCCAGGCUUAAGGCUAUAGGAGGAGAUGAAGGAUACAUAGACAGAACUCUUGAGCAGAAGCAGCGGUCAUGGGAGAGACAGAAGGUAGAAGAACAGCAAUACAAAGCAGAGGAUCAGAAUGCUGAGAACAAGCAUAAUGGAGGAAGCACCAUGGAAAAGAGUCACAGUUAGGAGCAAAAGAAGAAGAUCCUCACCAGUGGCAUUGCAAAACUGCAUUCAGUUUCUUGAAGAUGAGUCUGGCAGGCAGCAUGUACAGGAAGACAUAUAGGAGACUCCAUGAGAAAGGCUGAAACUCAGCCAAGAUUAACUCACACCCUAUAAAAAGAAGAAAAAAGUAGUUGUAGUAGGAGACUCCCUACUGCAUGGGAUUGAAAUUGAAAAAUGCCAGGAACAUCCAAGGACCCACCAGAUAUGCUAUCUUCUUGAAGGAUGGAUUAGAGGUGUAAUGGAAGGAUUGCUACCACUCAUAAAACCCACAGAUGUGUAUCACUUUCUUCUCAUCCAUGGGGGGGGGAGAGAGACAGCCAAGAGGAGUCAUGAAGAAAUCACAUCAGACUUUGAAGCUUUGGGAAGGAGAGUCUGUCAUCCAUCCUGCCAGUACUCAGAAGAGCAAUAGAAAAAGAAAGGAAAAUACUCAAGGUGGAUGAUUGGCAAUGAAGGCGAUGCCAGUGUGAGGGAUUUGAAUUUUGAGACCAAGGGCUAUGCUUCCUGGAAGAUGGACUGAUACCCCACAAGCACUGGGAAGAAUGUGUUUGGUCACAGUAUAAAGAACACCACCAUGGGGGCUUUAAAUUGAACUGGAAGGGUAAGGGAGACUCAAGCUCAGAGGUAAAGACAGAUGAAGACUUGUGCACCAUAAGAGAAACAGACCAAGCAGCUUUC